rnacentral:rRNA from 1 species
AAACCAACAGGGAUUGCCCCAGUAACGGCGAGUGAAGCGGCAAAAGCUCAAAUUUGAAAUCCUGCGGGAAUUGUAAUUUGAAGGUUUCGUGGUCUGAGUCGGCCGCGCCCAAGUCCAUUGGAACAUGGCGCCUGGGAGGGUGAGAGCCCCGUCCGGCGCACGCCGACUCUUUGCACCGCGGCUCCGACGAGUCGAGUUGUUUGGGAAUGCAGCUCUAAGUGGGUGGUAAAUUCCAUCUAAAGCUAAAUAUUGGCGAGAGACCGAUAGCGAACAAGUACAGUGAUGGAAAGAUGAAAAGCACUUUGAAAAGAGAGUGAAACAGCACGUGAAAUUGUUGAAAGGGAAGGGCUUGCAAGCAGACACGGUUUUACCGGGCCAGCGUCGAAAAGGGGGGAGGAACAAGAACUCGAGAAUGUGGCGCGCACCUUCGGGUGCGCGUGUUAUAGCUCGUGUUGACGCCUCCAUCCUUUUUCGAGGCCUGCGAUUCUAGGACGCUGGCGUAAUGGUUGCAAGCCGC